AGAGUUUGAUCCUGGCUCAGAACGAACGCUGGCGGCGUGGAUAAGACAUGCAAGUCGAACGGGACCAAGUCUGUAGUAAUACAAACUUGGUUCAGUGGCGCACGGGUGCGUAACACGUGAGCAAUCUGCCGGGAAGUGGGGGAUAGCUCGCCGAAAGGCGAAUUAAUACCGCAUGUGGCCAUUCUUCGAGUGGAGGAAAAGCCAAAGCAGCAAUGCGCUUCCUGAUGAGCUCGCGGCCUAUCAGCUCGAUGGCGGGGUAAUGGCCCACCAUGGCUUUGACGGGUAGCUGGUCUGAGAGGACGACCAGCCACACUGGAACUGAGACACGGUCCAGACACCUACGGGUGGCAGCAGUCGAGAAUUUUUCACAAUGGGGGCAACCCUGAUGGAGCGACGCCGCGUGGAGGAUGAAGGCCUUCGGGUUGUAAACUCCUGUCAUGCGGGAACAAGCAAGUGAUAGUACCGCAAGAGGAAGAGACGGCUAACUCUGUGCCAGCAGCCGCGAUAAUACAGAGGUCUCAAGCGUUGUUCGGAUUCAUUGGGCGUAAAGGGUGCGUAGGUGGUGAUGCAAGUCUGGUGUGAAAUCUCGGAGCUCAACUCCGAAAUUGCACCGGAUACUGCGUGACUCGAGGACUGUAGAGGAGAUCGGAAUUCACGGUGUAGCAGUGAAAUGCGUAGAUAUCGUGAGGAAGACCAGUUGCGAAGGCGGAUCUCUGGGCAGUUCCUGACACUGAGGCACGAAGGCCAGGGGAGCAAACGGGAUUAGAUACCCCGGUAGUCC
rnacentral:rRNA from 1 species